rnacentral:rRNA from 1 species
AUUGAACGCUGGCGGCAUGCCUUACACAUGCAAGUCGAACGGCAGCGCCGGGAGCAAUCCUGGCGGCGAGUGGCGAACGGGUGAGUAAUAUAUCGGAACGUGCCCUGUAGCGGGGGAUAACCUAUCGAAAGAUGGACUAAUACCGCAUACGCUCUACGGAGGAAAGCGGGGGUCGCAAGACCUCGCACUAUAGGAGCGGCCGAUAUCGGAUUAGCUAGUUGGCGGGGUAAAAGCCCACCAAGGCGACGAUCCGUAGCUGGUCUGAGAGGAUGAUCAGCCACACUGGAACUGAGACACGGUCCAGACUCCUACGGGAGGCAGCAGUGGGGAAUUUUGGACAAUGGGCGCAAGCCUGAUCCAGCCAUGCCGCGUGAGUGAAGAAGGCCUUCGGGUUGUAAAGCUCUUUCGGCAGGAACGAAAUGGUUCGUGCUAAUACCACGGACUGAUGACGGUACCUGAAGAAGAAGCACCGGCUAACUACGUGCCAGCAGCCGCGGUAUACGUAGGGUGCAGGCGUUAAUCGGAAUACUGGGCGUAAAGCGUGCGCAGGCGG